UCGAGAGACGACAGUCGCAGGGACUCGGCAGUCCUGUGGCAGGGUUGCAACGGGGCCAGAAUCCUGCAGGAGAGCCCAAUGAUUCUCGCCGAUGCACGUCCGGUGUACGAAGUCCACAACCUCGGGAACUGAAGCAAGUCUGAAAGAAAAAACGUGAGCGAUUAAAAAAUGUAGUUUUAUCGUCUAUAAAUAGUAUAAUAGCCUCGUGACUCGAGGAGAAGGUCACGUGUCUAUUAUAUAACGGAAUUAACAAAUAAUAUUUGUAUCUUGUUGAAUUUGUGCUAAUAUUUACACAAUUUGUUAGAUUUGAGUGUAAUAUAUUUUGUUAUUUAAUUUAUAUAGGAAUGUAAAACUUGGAAAAUAAAGGUACAUGGGUGCAAAUACUUUUUGUAGUCAAUAUAAUUUUAAAAGUUAUGGAUGAAAAAGUAUAAAAAAGGAAAAUGAAGAUGAAUAAUAAUUGUGUUUUACGUAAGAUCAUGAUAUUAAAAAUUUCAAAGAAUUUUAAGUUGAAAUGAAACGAUGAAAAAUAUUUGCAUUUCGAUUGCGAUACUCGAGAUCGAUAGAUUCUUCCUUAAAGAAAGACGGUAAUUGUACAACAGAGAAUAUUAUUGGAAUCGACACUACGUAUCAAUCAAGGCAAUAAACAUUAUAAACCGGUAGUAUCAUAAUAAAACGAGACGAAACCGGUAAUUAGUCAUCCAAGUUGACGAAGAGACGGAAUUGCAACGAAUUGCAUUAACUUCAUUCGUUUGACCUUCUCCCACGCACAACGAGUAUUCAUUUCUGUGAAUACUAACAGAAAUAAAACAACGCUUUAGAUGAACAACUAUAUUACGAUAUCAACGAUGUAAAAGAAAAAAACAACAUGAUUAUGAUCCGAUAUUAAAUGCUCCGAUUAUAUUCAUUGAUCACGAGAAAUAAAAAAUUAUUAGACAUUAAUAGAAUAUACUUUUAUUAUUCAUCAUCAUUUAAUUACAUCAAGAUACUCUUGAAAUGUAAAUUCCAUCAAAUAUAACGAAAUAUAUUUAAUGAAGCACAAUAAUCGAAAAUAUUUAAACACCAAACAUAUAAAAAUUUAAAACAAUUGUAACAUAAAGAUGUAACAUAUAUACAAUAAUAAAUGUGAAAGCGAUAUAGAAAUCGAUAUGCAAUUUGCAGUGAACAGAUUUCUCUCGUCUGUCGCAUAAUAAUAAUUAUU